CAGUGGGCUCUUCUACUUGAUGGAGCACUCCCUGCGUGGUGCCUUGUAUUUGUAGACAUGAUGCUGUAAAUGCUCUUUGAAUGUCUUGAAGGCUUUUAUGUUUGAGGAGUUUACAGAGAAGCACCUACAGGCUUCAGGUCCCUUCUUCUGUUGCUUCUUUGCUCCUUAGUUCCUCCCCUAACCUGGUGCUAAAUUAGAUCAUAGUGUGGUCCUUGGACCAACAGUAUCAAUAGCACCUGAAAAUCAUGCUGGAAAUACAGAUUCACAGGCUGCUCCCUAGAAUACUGAAGAAGAAACUCUAGGAGUGAGACCCAACAAUCUGUAUUUAACAAGUCCCCAGGCCCCUGGAUCCUCCUGGAAUCCCCGAUCCCUCUUGCUCCCUGGCAGAGUUUUCUAGUCCCUCUUACUUGAAGCAUGUCUUUCAGAGCCCGGCACCACCCAUCUUGAGUAUCUGGUGAGUUCUGUGGUCUGCAUGUCCAUGUUUGGGACAUUCUGGGAAGGGUGGCCCAGGCUGUGAUUUGCCAUCUACUGCAGGCUAUGGAUGGUAUUCAGAAGGGAGGGGAGAUGCUGUGUGCGUGUUCUGAAGGGUUUCCCACUAAACAGAUCAACCCUCUCCAUAACUAUUUGAUUUUUACUUUAUCUCCUCGUUGACUUCACAGUGUCAGUGCAGUUUGUGUAAACAUCUCUAUGGGGUGAUGCAUGCAGAUAAAUGUUUAUGUGAACAUAUAAAGUCUGCAUGUGUGGGUGAACACUCCACAUCAGGUCAUUGUCCAUCAUUACAUAUCUGUGGUGUCUGGCUCAUUCGUCUCGUUUUCUGUCAUUUUACCUACUUUUACCUGAAGUACAAUGACUAUUUAAUAACUAUUAAAUGUUUCAUUUCAGCUACACCUCUAUGGUAUUUUUUUCACCUCAUAUCAUACCUUCCUCCCUCACUGGACUUCAGUGUGGGACCUGCAGGUCUCAGGCCUUCUGGGAAGUCCCAGCUUUUCUUGAAUGUUUUCUCUCUCUGGCCAGCUCAGGCUGGAGCAGUGGGUGUUGGUGCCAUCCUGUGGCUAUAGGUGAUAAGCCGGCUGUUCUUCACUGACCUGGUCUUACCUUGAACCCUGGAGUUCUCACAUGCAUGGAUUUAAAUGCUGUGUCUUUCUAAGGGCACAUUAUGGCCAUUUUCCUUAUCUCCCUCCCAAGGGGCUGUUU
rnacentral:lncRNA from 1 species